rnacentral:rRNA from 1 species
CGAAAUGCGAUAAUUCAUGNGAAUUNCAGAAUUCAGUGCAUCAUCGAAUCUUUGCACGCACCUUGCG